rnacentral:rRNA from 1 species
UACGGGAGGCAGCAGGGGGAAUAUUGGACAAUGGGCGCAAGCCUGAUCCAGCCAUGCCGCGUGUGUGAAGAAGGCCUUCGGGUUGUAAAGCACUUUUGUCCGGAAAGAAAAGCUUAGGGUUAAUAACCUUGAGUCAUGACGGUACCGGAAGAAUAAGCACCGGCUAACUUCGUGCCAGCAGCCGCGGUAAUACGAAGGGUGCAAGCGUUACUCGGAAUUACUGGGCGUAAAGCGUGCGUAGGUGGUUUUGUUAAGUCUGAUGUGAAAGCCCUGGGCUCAACCUGGGAAUGGCAUUGGAAACUGGCUUACUAGAGUGCGGUAGAGGGGUGUGGAAUUCCCGGUGUGCAGUGAAAUGCGUAGAUAUCGGGAGGAACAUCUGUGGCGAAGGCGACACCCUGGACCAGCACUGACACUGAGGCACGAAAGCGUGGGGAGCAAACAGGGAUUAGAUACC